CCUACGGGCGGCAGCAGUAGGGAAUCUUCCACAAUGGGCGCAAGCCGGAUGGAGCAACACCGCGUGAGUGAAGAAGGGUUUCGGCUCGUAAAGCUCUGUUGUUGGAGAAGAACGUGCGUGAGAGUAACUGUUCACGCAGUGACGGUAUCCAACCAGAAAGUCACGGCUAACUACGUGCCAGCAGCCGCGGUAAUACGUAGGUGGCAAGCGUUAUCCGGAUUUAUUGGGCGUAAAGCGAGCGCAGGCGGUUGCUUAGGUCUGAUGUGAAAGCCUUCGGCUUAACCGAAGAAGUGCAUCGGAAACCGGGUAACUUGAGUGCAGAAGAGGACAGUGGAACUCCAUGUGUAGCGGUGGAAUGCGUAGAUAUAUGGAAGAACACCAGUGGCGAAGGCGGCUGUCUGGUCUGCAACUGACGCUGAGGCUCGAAAGCAUGGGUAGCGAACAGGAUUAGAUACCCCAGUAGUC
rnacentral:rRNA from 1 species